AAACUAUGACCCUUUUGUUUAGUUAGCGUGUGAUUCUGAGCAUUUGCGUAUCUUUUUGGCAUAAAUUAAAACCUGAAACUUGUUGGGCUGAACGCCAAACAAGACCACUUUACGUUCUUCGAUCCACACCGAAUGCGAAUCAGAAUUUAAAUAAGCAAAUGUCUCUCUUUUAUUCUCCAAAUCCCAACGCAUCUCUCUUACUGAAUCCUUCCUCCAUUUCCGUUCCUACGCCAACCAAGCCUCAUUUCGCAUCACCACCUCAACUGUCGCAUCACCACCUUCUUUAUUCUUCUCCGAUUAGCAAUCGUUCCUCUUUAGUUCUUCGCUUCUCUUCUCUCUCAGAUAUGGAUUCCACAUCAGGCCAGAGUCUGUACCCUUUGCACCGUACUAAAACUAUUCACCUGGUGAGGCAUGCUCAAGGGAUUCACAAUGUAGAAGGAGAAAAAGACUACAAUGCAUAUUUAUCUGAAGCACUCUUUGAUGCUUGCCUUACCCCUCUCGGUUGGCAGCAGGUUGAUAAUCUGCGCAAGCACGUUCAAGAACGUGGGCUUAAUAAGAAAAUUGAGUUGGUCAUUACUUCCCCUUUGUUAAGGACCAUGCAAACAGCAGUUGGUGUUUUUGGUGGUGAAGGGUACGCUGAUGGCAUAGAGGCCCCUCCAUUGAUGGUGGCAAAUGCUGGGGAAAGUAACCGUCCUGCAAUUUCAAGUUUAAAUUGUCCUCCAUUUGUAGCAGUCGAGCUUUGUCGGGAACAUUUGGUAUCUCUUGAAUGACUUGAAGUGGUUUUAAUUCCAUAGAGUAACUUCAGCCGUUUAUACAUUAGUAAAAUUUGUAUUAGGCGAAUAGGCGUGGUUUAGAUUUGUGGAACAAGUUAUUGCAUCUUGUAUCCAACACUUAAUUUCCUACAUAACAAGGUUUUGUGGAACAAGUUAUUGCAUGUAGUUUUAUAUACCUUUUUAUUUGAUUUAAAUUAUUCUUUGUUUCAAACUACAGGGAGUUCAUCCAUGUGACAGGAGAAGAAGUAUUAACGAGUAUAGGCCUCUAUUUCCUGCAAUUGAUUUUUCACUGGCAAGUAAUUCAACAUAUGGGCAUUCCUUAUGUUGUCUUGUAGAAUUAAUUUUUUAAUCUUGUGCCGUUAUCAUUGGUUCUGGUGUCAAUAUCAAUUUGGGUUGAGAUGAAAUAGUUUGUUUGAUAUUUUGUAUAGAUUGAAAAUGAUGCUGACAUUUUGUGGACGGCUGAUGUCAGAGAAGAGAAUCAAGAUGUUGCAGCCAGGGGGCAGAAGUUUUUGAGCUGGUGAUUACUUGUUUGUGUUCUUUCUGUAUCUUAUAAUUCUUUUCAUCAACCUAAGAAUUGAAAGUUUAUAUGACCAAAAUGGAUUACAUUUAGAAAUCCGAAAUCAGCUAAAGGGGAGCAUUUAGAAACAUGACAAGUAUAGAUUACUUGAGGAAGUAAAAUGCUGUUGUUGGGUUCCAGUAUUCUACAAACUGCUCUAUGUUUUUAAUGGACAUUGACAGUUUGGUUUCUCAGCUUUUAUAGCUUGUUAUGGUUCAUAUGCACAUAGGGCAUGAAGUUGUCUCAUGUAAAUUUAUUAUUAUUAUUUUUUUUAAUAAAAAAUGGCUUUUAAAAUAACUAUGGAAUUACCUUAUUCAUCUAAGCCUUUGGUGUUUGCUUUUCUUUUUUAAUUCUAUGUAAUUGCUUCUUUUUUCUUUACCAUAAUAUUUUGUUCUGUGGGCUGCUAAGUGCUAAGAAAGAGAACCACAACAGUUGCAUUUGAUGGGAUAUUUAAUCCUCCGUAAUUAUGCAUGAACCACAUGAAUUUUUUGUGUGCUUUUGUUCUUCCGCAUUCUUUGCGCGUUUACUAAGAUGGGUUCUGAAAGUGCAUUAUAGCUGAGUAGCUGUUGGCAGAUGUUGUUUUAGAUUAGAAUGAAUUUUAUUUUUAUUAGUUAUUUAUUCUUUUAUUUCAUGGUUCAGGUUAUGGACUCGGAAAGAGAAGGAGAUAGCAGUUGUUACACACAGUGGAUUCUUAUAUCAUACAUUAAGUGCUUUUGGGAAUGAUUGUCACCCAUCUGUGAAGUGUGAAAUAUGUACACAGUAAGUUCUUGUUUAUGGCAGUGAAGUGAAAAACUUCAAAUGUUUGUUCAUGUGUUGCAUUGAAAAUGAUGGUCUUAUUUUGAAUACUUCAGUCUUCUAUUUCUUUGAUAAUCAAAUGAAUCUUACCUACAAAUGCAGCUUCAAUAACUGUGAGCUCCGGUCGGUGGUUAUUAUUGAUAGAAGUAUGAUGGGUUCAGAUCCUGCAACAACUAACUAUCCUGGAAAAAUUCCUGCUGGUCUUGAUCUUCCAAGCGAUGUUGCACAGGAGAAGCGUCCAGAGAUGGGAGUGUCCAAUUAAUCAUUUACUACUGAUUUCAAUACUCCAUCAAAUGUUCAUUCAUAAAUGAUUUACUAGGAACUACUUCAAUACCUAUAGAAAGACUUGGCCAUUCAUAUUUUGUGAACUCACUAGCUCUGUUAGGAAUUUAAGAUUCAUUUCGUUGAUGUAGACAGUCAUUAUGUGUACCCAACGAAGAUUGAAGGCCAUUGUCCCUGAGAUCUUCCAUAAUCUGGCUAUUGUGAUGAUGACUGUGAUUACAAUCAAGCCAAUGAUUCAUUUGGUUAUGCAGACCGACUUCAGCCUUUUAUGAUGACUCGGAAUGAAUACGACUUUGUGUAUGAUACAUAAACAAAUAUUUGGAUUUUGCGAACCACAUCAAGUAUGCAUCUUUAAUGUUUUGAUGUCACAUAACGGAUUCUAGACUGGUUGGUUGGAUAUACAAGGCAGGGUUGCUAGAUGUUUUGAGGUGGCUUUUUUUCAUUUUAGCAGGAAAUUUUUUUUGUUGUUAUAGAAAAGUGAGA
rnacentral:misc_RNA from 1 species